ACAACCAGUCCAGAGCAUACCCCAGAGACAAUUCAGUCUCAGACUCCCACUGCUCCCUACACUGAUAGACAGGAUAACACCUUCAACCAUCUUGCCUGUGCGAAAGUGAACCAGGCUCUGGGAAGGGUACAAAGACAAAAAACAAGAAGACGAUGAAGAAGAUGGCCCUCGACGACCUUACAUUCUACUGGAUUUCCUGGAUUGUAGGUUCUGAGAGGACAUUCUCUCUCCAGGCAUUGAUCAGUUGUUCCCAACACACCGUGCUCAUGAAAGCCUGAGUCUGGAUCUUGAGUCCUUGGCUGCCUUUUCUGCCGUGCGUUUCUUUCCAGGAGCCCAAGUAACUGAACGAGUGAGUGAGGUUGGGAGUUCUCGGGACCCUCAGCUCCACCUGCAGGAAGCAGCUGCAAUACUCCACUCUUCUUGGAGAAGAAAAGCAUGAAAUGAUGGGGAGCCCAAACUUUGUCCUGGCCAGCCAAAAGACGGGGACUUUGGGAGGAGUGGGCAGAGAGUGCAGAGCCAAGGAGAGCAAUAAAA